rnacentral:tRNA from 1 species
UCACUGGUGGUCCAGUGGUUAGGACUCAGUGCUCCCAUUGCAGGGGGUCUGGGAUCGAUCCCUAGUCAGGGAA